rnacentral:rRNA from 1 species
ACUCAAAGGAAUUGACGGGGGCCCGCACAAGCAGCGGAGCGUGUGGUUUAAUUCGAUGCAACGCGAAGAACCUUACCCAGACUUGACAUGCCCGUGGUACCAAGGUGAAAGCUGAGGGACUCGCAAGAGAGCGGGCACAGGUGCUGCACGGCUGUCGUCAGCUCGUGCCGUGAGGUGUUGGGUUAAGUCCCGCAACGAGCGCAACCCCUACCGUUAGUUACCAAGUCUAGCGGGACCGCCGGGACCAACCCGGAGGAAGGUGGGGAUGACGUCAAGUCAGCAUGGCCCUUACGUCUGGGGCGACACACACGCUACAAUGGCCGGGACAAAGGGUAGCGAGGGGGAGACCCGGAGCCAAUCCCGCCAAACCCGGUCUCAGUUCGGAUUGGAGGCUGCAACUCGCCUCCAUGAAGUCGGAGUUGCUAGUAACCGUAGGUCAGCACACUACGGUGAAUGCGUUCCCGGGCCUUGCACACACCGCCCGU